GAUGAACGCUGGCGGCGUGCUUAAUACAUGCAAGUCGAGGGGCAAGGCGACGCUAGUGUUGGGUGCUCGAGUGGCGAGCAAAUGAGUAAGACACGAGUACCCUGCCUACGCCUUAGGGAUAACUACCGGGGACAGAGCCGAAUACAUACUCCGUGAUACUGCUGCAUGGUGUGGGUUGGUUAGUAACGGUGGGUGGGGAUGGACUCGCGGUUUAUCUGCUUGUUGGUGAGGUAGUGGCUUACCAAGGCUUUGCCGGGUAGCCGGCAUGAGAGGGUGACCGGCCACAUUGGGACUGAGAUACGGCCCAGAGUCCUACGGGAUGCAGCAGAGGGGAAGAUUGCACGAUGGGGGGAAGCCUGAUGCAGCAACGCGGCGUGCGGGAUGGUGGCCUUCGUGUUGUAAACCGCUUUCGCCUGUAAUGAAGCGUGGGUGACGGUAAUGGGUAAAGAAGCACCGGCUAACUACGUG
rnacentral:rRNA from 1 species